UACGUAGGGUGCAAGCGUUGUCCGGAAUUAUUGGGCGUAAAGAGCUCGUAGGCGGUCUGUCGCGUCGAAUGUGAAAACCCGGGGCUCAACCCCGGGCCUGCAUUCGAUACGGGCAGACUAGAGUUCGGUAGGGGAGUCUGGAAUUCCUGGUGUAGCGGUGAAAUGCGCAGAUAUCAGGAGGAACACCGGUGGCGAAGGCGGUUCUCUGGGCCUGACCUGACGCUGAGGAGCGAAAGCGUGGGGAGCGAACAGG
rnacentral:rRNA from 1 species